rnacentral:rRNA from 1 species
GACGAACGCUGGCGGCGUGCUUAACACAUGCAAGUCGAACGAAGUGGCGAACGGGUGAGUAACGCGUAAUCAACCUGCCAUUCAGAGGGGGACAACAGGUGGAAACGACUGCUAAUACCGCAUACGGAAGGAGGAGAUUGCGUGUGAUUGGCUAGUGGGGGGGGUAACGGCCCACCAAGGCGAUGAUCAGUAGCCGGCCUGAGAGGAUGAUCGGCCACAUUGGGACUGAGACACGGCCCAGACUCCUACGGGAGGCAGCAGUGGGGAAUCUUCGGCAAUGGACGAAAGUCUGACGGAGCAACGCCGCGUGAGUGAUGACGGCCUUCGGGUUGUAAAGCUCUGUUAUUCGGGAAGCGGUACCGGAAUAGAAAGCCCCGGCUAACUACUUGCCAGCAGCCGCGGUAAUC